rnacentral:rRNA from 1 species
UGGGGAAUCUUGCGCAAUGGGCGAAAGCCUGACGCAGCCAUGCCGCGUGAAUGAUGAAGGUCUUAGGAUUGUAAAAUUCUUUCACCGGGGACGAUAAUGACGGUACCCGGAGAAGAAGCCCCGGCUAACUUCGUGCCAGCAGCCGCGGUAAUACGAAGGGGGCUAGCGUUGCUCGGAAUUACUGGGCGUAAAGGGAGCGUAGGCGGACAUUUAAGUCAGGGGUGAAAUCCCGGGGCUCAACCUCGGAAUUGCCUUUGAUACUGGGUGUCUUGAGUGUGAGAGAGGUAUGUGGAACUCCGAGUGUAGAGGUGAAAUUCGUAGAUAUUCGGAAGAACACCAGUGGCGAAGGCGACAUACUGGCUCAUUACUGACGCUGAGGCUCGAAAGCGUGGGGAGCAAACAGGAUUAGAUACCCUGGUAGUCCACGCCGUAAACGAUGAUUGCUAGUUGUCGGGAUGCAUGCAUUUCGGUGACGCAGCUAACGCAUUAAGCAAUCCGCCUGGGGAGUACGGUCGCAAGAUUAAAACUCAAAGGAAUUGACGGGGGUCAUAGCUGUUUCCUG